UGGGGAAUAUUGCACAAUGGGGGAAACCCUGAUGCAGCGACGCCGCGUGAACGAAGAAGGUAUUCGUAUCGUAAAGUUCUGUCCUAUGGGAAGAUAAUGACAGUACCAUAGAAGAAAGCUCCGGCUAAAUACGUGCCAGCAGCCGCGGUAAUACGUAUGGAGCGAGCGUUGUCCGGAAUUAUUGGGCGUAAAGGGUACGCAGGCGGUUUAAUAAGUCGAAUGUUAAAGAUCGGGGCUCAACCCCGCAAAGCAUUGGAAACUGAUAAACUUGAGUAGUGGAGAGGAAAGUGGAAUUCCUAGUGUAGUGGUGAAAUACGUAGAUAUUAGGAAGAAUGCCAGUAGCGAAGGCGACUUUCUGGACACAAACUGACGCUGAGGUACGAAAGCGUGGGGAGCAAACAGG
rnacentral:rRNA from 1 species